rnacentral:misc_RNA from 1 species
GAUGAAGAACGUAGCGAAAUGCGAUAAGUAAUGUGAAUUGCAGAUUUCAGUGAAUCAUCGAAUCUUUGAACGCACCUUGCGCCUUGUGGUAUUCCACAAGGCAUGCCCGUUUGAGUAUCAUUAAAUCAUCAACUCUAAAACCUUUGUGGUUUUUUUAGAGCUUGGUCUUGAGGGUUUUGCAGGCUUUUUUUUUUCGCGUCUGCUCCCUUUAAAUGCAUUAGCGAGACUUCCCUAUGCUGAACCGUCUCUUUGACGUGAUAAUUAUCUGCGUCGAAUUUUGGUUCUCGUUGGGCUUGCUUCUAAUCGUCUGUUAAAGACAAAACGGAUUUGGGUGCAUAUAUGCGCCUUUUUCCAAAACCUUUUUUGAUCUCAAAUCGGGUAGGACUACCCGCUGAACUUAAGCAUAUCAAUAAGCGGAGGA